rnacentral:rRNA from 1 species
UUAGCCUACGGGACGCAGCAGUAGGGAAUAUUGCUCAAUGGGGGAAACCCUGAAGCAGCAACGCCGCGUGGAGGAUGAAGGUUUUCGGAUUGUAAACUCCUUUUGUUAGAGAAGAUAAUGACGGUAUCUAACGAAUAAGCACCGGCUAACUACGUGCCAGCAGCCGCGGUAAUACGUAGGGAGCAAGCGUUAUCCGGAUUUAUUGGGUGUAAAGGGUGCGUAGACGGGAAGGCAAGUUAGUUGUGAAAUCCCUCGGCUUAACUGAGGAACUGCAACUAAAACUAUCUUUCUUGAGUGCUGGAGAG